rnacentral:tRNA from 1 species
GAGCCGCUAGCGCAGUGUCACGACCGCCCGGCGGCUCGGUGCUGCCGGCGGCUCGGUGCUGCCGGCGGCUCGGCGCUGCCGGCGGCUCA